AGGCGUGUCGAAAUGCUGGUCGCGCUUGCGUCCGUAUGUCUUCAUCGUGUUUCGUCGUUGUGGUAUAGUCACGGUUGGGAGAUAGCUAGCGUGCAACAGUAGAGUAGAACUUAUUGAGUAACGCGUUGUAGAAAGUGAGCGAAAGUGAUAGAGUGCCAUGAUAAAAUAGUACCGAGUGGACAGUCGAAUCUUAUAAUUGAAAGUUGGAUAAAAAGGUUCGUUCACGACAAAGGUGUUGGAAGAAGUGGAUCGUGAUUGGUGAAUCUUAGACGGCCAUAAUUGUGCGCCAUUCGGUCUUCAGUGCAGAUCCGCGCAGCGAAAGGGCAGAUGCCCUUACGCGGUUCGUGCUCCCAUUGGUGGGUACGCACUGAUCUAUCCGGAUCGACAUACUUGGCAAGAUCCGGUAGUGUUAUUCACGGUGUAUAUUCAAAUUCGGUAAAUUCGCAAACUAUAAGGACAAGCGGUCAGCCACCACCUCCUCUCGGAGACGACAAUUCUUUUGGCCGUACGAGUCACCAACUCGGUAGUGGUGAAUGGUGAGUGUGAUUUCUGUGGUCUAGCAGCAACAUUAGCAAUCGCAGCGCCGUCAACAACACGACGACAACGACAACGACGACAGUAGCGCCAUCAUCAGCGCGACCGCCAUCGCAGCAAGAAGAAACAGUAUUCCUUCGAGGAGAGAAAGAAGAAAUGCCUGUAGGUUCGCGAUCGGUGACGCGAGCAAAGAUGGAGGCCCCGUCCAGUUUGUAACACGGCAGCCAGGUCUCGUUUAAAGCGCACCAACGGAGCCACGGAGAGCGCUCCUCGAGUCGGCUGCCUAAAGUCGCGUUUUGCCCCGUGCUACUUUUCUUCGUGAGCCCCGCGAGGCUAGAGGAUGGAGCUACGCGUUGGAAAUAAGUACCGGCUCGGACGGAAAAUCGGGAGCGGCUCCUUCGGCGACAUUUAUCUAGGUACCAAUAUUUCCACCGGCGAGGAAGUCGCCAUCAAGCUAGAAUGUAUAAAAACGCGGCAUCCGCAGUUACACAUAGAAUCCAAGUUCUACAGAAUGAUGCAAGGUGGUGUUGGUAUACCAACUAUAAAAUGGUGUGGCUCAGAAGGUGACUACAAUGUAAUGGUAAUGGAGCUACUUGGUCCAUCACUGGAGGAUCUCUUUAAUUUUUGUUCAAGAAGUUUUUCUUUGAAAACGGUCUUGCUUCUCGCCGAUCAAUUGAUAUGUAGAACGGAUUACAUUCAUAGUCGCAAUUUUAUCCACCGAGACAUCAAACCGGAUAAUUUUUUGAUGGGCUUGGGAAAGAAGGGAAAUCUCGUGUAUAUUAUAGAUUUCGGAUUGGCUAAAAAAUACCGCGAUGGCCGUACUCACAAACACAUACCCUAUCGAGAAAACAAGAAUUUAACAGGAACAGCCAGAUAUGCGAGUAUUAAUACACAUCUGGGAAUUGAACAAUCACGACGAGACGACCUUGAAUCCUUAGGGUAUGUUCUUAUGUACUUCAAUAGGGGUAGCUUGCCCUGGCAAGGUUUGAAAGCGGCGACUAAAAGACAAAAGUAUGAACGUAUUUCUGAAAAGAAAAUGUCUACGCCUGUCGAAGAAUUAUGCAAGGGUUAUCCUGUAGAGUUUGCGUCAUACCUAAGGUAUUGUCGAGGACUACGAUUUGAAGAAAGGCCUGACUACUCGUAUCUUCGACAACUCUUCCGGACGCUGUUCCAUGGUCAGGGCUUCACAUACGAUUACGUCUUCGAUUGGAAUAUGCUGAAAUUUGGUAACGUGAGGCAACAAACAUUAUCUUCGACGCAACAAACACCUAUGCAGUCACAACACACGAACGUGGCGCUGCCUUCUGGGACCAAUAACGAUCAGGAACAUCGAUCUAGGCCCUAUACACGGCAGUGUUUGGCAAACAUAUCAGUGGGAACGGUGGGCCCGACUGUAGGUGGAACAACCACGAAUUUGAGAAGCAUGCGGCAAAAACGCGAGGCGAUAGACGCUCUUCGUGAUCAGGACAAUCAGGAGAGCGAUCUUCAAGUGAAUCGUUACUCGUUUGCUCGCAGUGACCAAUCUCGAACCAACGAAAAGAAGCCCCUCGAGAUCCCAGAAAGGUUACCAAAGCUUAGAUAGAGACGCUAAAGCAUAGUUUUCUACUUCUUCUAGCCGCGCGAAUCGCAGUCUCGAGGGCUUCUUUCGUUCGACAGGUCCUCUGAAACUCCGAUGAUUCGGUGACUUCUUCCUAACCGCUGGAUCCUGAGCAUCGUCGUUAAGUUCUUUCCUUGAUUAUGCAUAUAUUUUUCUUUUUCACUCACCUUAUUUUUCUUCUAUCAUCUAUCUUCCUUCUGUGUAUUUCUUUCUCAUCCAAGGAGCCUCCGGUAAUUGCGCAUCUGUUUGUAAUCAUUCUGUUUUUUAAUUGAUAGUGACGAUGGUGAUGAUGAUGAUGAUGAUGAUAAUGAUGGAGAGAAAGUAGUAAAUAAAUGUUUUUCCAUUCAAGGACUGGUCUCUUUAUUUAUUUCACCACACGACAUUGUCGAUAAUCCUCGUCAAAAUUUUCUUCUCACUUGGCUUGAAUGGAAAAACCAACUUGCUGUGUUCCUCGAGAGAAAUAUCAUUUCCACUCGAUCACGAUCGCGGAUAAUGAUCAUUCUUUUUUUUCCCAUUUUUUUUUUUUUUUUUUUUAUUUUUGUAAUCCUAAUCGCAUCAUCUGUCUUCACGUUAUUACGUAUUGUUUCAAUAUACAACUUUUUCCAUUUCAAUUGCCAAGCGUGAAAUAUCGUUCGUCGUCCCUGUAUCAUGUGGUUAAUCCUUUCUAUGAUCGAUCUUGUAAGAAAAAUCCGAAAAUUCAUCGCGUUUUUUCUACGAGAAUAUAAACUUUCAUCGACAAUAGAGUAGGCGGUUUUCUACGAAAAUUUCGAUCUUCACGGUGAUCGUAAUUCCUGCAAUUAUGUUUCGCCGAAGAAACACGACAAAGGCUAUACAAUACCAUGUUUGAAUACCCCGGGGAUCGAUUUUUCUUUAGUCUGCGUCAACUAGCCAAGAAAGGAGCAUGUUAUUAUUGUUUCCAAUCUGAAUUCGAUACCUGGUGAAGUGAUCGAUAGAGUUCAAGGAAGCGUCGCGAUAUAAAUAUAUCCAAGCUUUUUAUCCCGAACUUGCAGAUUCAAUUUCCUAUAAAUAAUUUACCGUGUUUUUACUGCAUAGGCUAAUUGAGUAGUUUGAAUAGAUCUUAGUGUCCCCUUGAACUAUGCUCGGUAGUCGUCAGGAUCCUCGAAAGAGCGACAUAUCGUCUCAAAACUUGUCUCGUAUGUGACGCAACAUUCGCUUAUGCGUCGGGCGCAGGUGGCCAGGAACGAAGAGUCAGCAUGAGGUUGCACCGUAGGGACGCGGCUGCAGGAGAGAUGCAACCGAAGACCAACGCCAAUGCAAUGGCCCCACCCAUCCUGUUGGGCAGGCUGGCAAGCGUUCAACACAAGUGAAUCAACAACAACGGGAAUAGCUGACUUCUCUUCAUCUUCGUCUUCGUCCUCGUCCUCGUCGUUAUCGUCCUCUUUCUCAGUGAUCUAGUCGACAGUAUCAUCGUCAUCGUGGAUAACAGCGUCAUCGGUAAUCACGAAUUUCGACAUUCCGAUACGGCAGACACGACGGAUAGAGUUUCUCGAAAGUCAAAGGAAGACAUCGGUCGAAGAUACUCUCUACUCUCUGUAUAUUCAAAAAUGGUAUUCGUAGACGAUCUACGAAACGUGUGCGAAUCUUCGUCGUAUCGAUGAACCAGUACGGUUCAUCGAUGAUCGUUGACGAUCUACGCGAACGUGUUCACUGGCGAGAAAGAGUUUCUCGAGGACGAGUCGCAGGAGUUUCGAGAUCGACGAUCCACGGUACAUCGUGUGUCUGCUAGGAUCGCAACGAUGGAAGAAAUCGAACGUUCUCUCGUGCAAACGAAGGAAGAUGCAAGUGUCCAGACGUGGAACGCAACUUUGCCAAAGCGGGCGAGGCGCCAUCCAACGAGAAAUGGAAUCGUGUUUCGACUCGUAAUUGUAAGGAGUCAGCUCGAGCUGUUAGACUGCUUCUAAAUGUACGUGGACAUGUGUUUAUACAGCGACGAUUACAUUGUGUUUAGCGAACGAACUCGAAACUACUCGUUAUACCGAAAUGAUCCUUCCACGAAGGAUUGCUGAUUUUUAGAAAUAGAGGGACGAUGUAGCUCUGCGUUGUAUCGAAUAAGGACGCUUCGUGGGAGCGCGGUCCGUGAUUCUUAGGAUAGAUCGCGAGUGUACAGUACGCGACUUCGAUGAUGAUACUUGUAAUCUUCGUCUUAGCUGCAAUUGUCCGGCGAAUGUGAAAUUCUUCGUAAUCGACUAUCCUUAGAAUGUGAUUUUUCAAAGUCCAAUAGGAAAACAUGCGCGCGUCCGUGUUAAAAAGCCGUCAAAAAGAGAGAAUCUCCGCACUAUCUUUUUUGCCUAACAACAUUCCCUCGAUAUUGGGCUCGAGUUUUCAGCUUUCAGAUUCGCAGCGAUCGUUUCGACGAUCGAUCAAGGAGGAUUACGAGUAGAAUGCGGAUGUUUAUGUACAUUUACGUUCUUACGUACGCAGUCAAGAGGAUGGAACGUAGAUAGAGAUCUGUUUCGCUCUUUAUAUACCACAAGCUCGUUAUACAGAUAUUUUAUGCUGAAUGUUUUCUAUAUUUUUACACAUUAAGUACACUCUGUACAUUUCUUUGCAUAAUUACAAUUGUCAGUAAAUUACAUUAAUAUCCGCAAUCUAACGGCGAGAACCGGCGGUCGAGCAUUAUUGUAUAAACGUGUAGAUUAUUCCCCUAUCCCAUUAACAUUAAAACACGAUUUGUACAUAGACAAAAUCGGCAUCGACGGCUGGACGACGGUUCUCGGACGGCGAAAGUCACGCACUCGCGCAAUCAACCGGACAGACCCGCGAAAGUCAAGUCACACCGGUCACACAAUCCAAUUUCCUUUGAGCCGAACUUGAGGAAACCAACUCGAAGUCAAGACCCGUUGCGCUAGACGCGAUCUGUACCGGUGACACAGAACCUGUAUAUAGCGUGACUGUUUGCCGAAAUACAGAGAAAAGAGCGGAUGACUAUAGAGCGUGACUGUAAGGUAAAUCCAAUAAGUCGGUUGUUUCAGUUAAGGGGGUGAUCGAGGAACGAUUAAGACGCGCCAAUAUAUAUCGAUCGAGCGUACUGUACAAUUCGUGUCGAUUCGUGUACGAACUUCGAUCCUUUUCUUGUAUUUUUUUUUCUUUUUCCUACGCGUAAUUGUCGAAUCCAUCGGUUCGGACAGAAAAGACGACCGUCGAAACUAGCGAUCGAAGAUACACGAUUAAGCUUUUCGUUGACGAGUACCUCUUCUCUCCCUGUCCAGUCUCUCGCUCUUUUCCUUUUUGUACAACUCUGCCAAUUUUUUGGUUGCGACAGACGAAUGUGUUUUACGAGUUUGAUAUCGUUUGUACACCAACGAUUAACCAAGAAAGAGAGAAAGAUUCGCGUGAUAGUAGAGAGUCGUCAAGAAUGGCGAAAGAUGGAUCGAAGAUUUAGUUAAUAACGAAACGAUAUCAAACUUAGUCAUGCAAGUCGUGUGUUCUGUAUGAGUAUUCUUUUUUUUGUGUUCGCAAUGGUGUGCGAUGGUUGCAUUUCGACCUACGUGUAUGCGUGUGCUCGAAUUGGAGAGACUCGGACAGAGGAGAGGAAAAAGGAUCAAUCUCGAACUUCCGUUGAGAGAAACGAUCGUUGGAAUAUGAGUAUAUUUCUCGUGGAUACGAUGGUUCUUGAAUCUUUCUUCUCGCAACGUGACAACGUCUGUGCUCCGUUUUAUAAUUGCAAAUGAUCUUGAAAGAUCGAUCGUUUUUAUGAAAAUUAAAACGGUCAGAGGUUGGAAACACGCGGCGAGAAACAGCUAGGUUCGAUAACCAUAAAUGGUACCUUGAGAAAUUCACCGGAAAUCGAGUUUCUCUUUAGCGUGAAUAAUUGCCUUGAUUGAUGAAAUUUCGUUGAACGUGCGACUUUAGCGAAUUAGAGUAAGAGGGAGAGAGGAUAAGGGACAAGCGCGAGAAAGUGUCCGAGAGAAAAACGCGAGAAUGCAGAAUCCUUAAUAACCGAUUGUUCUCGCGCGAGAAAUGCAUUUUUUGUUUGGGAUAUAAAAAAUCGAAAGUCGUCGAGACCGUCUUAUUUACGGUGAGGUAUAUGACGGCUGAUUAAUCGAUUUGAUUCAAAUUUUGUACACGCAUACAUGUAUUAAUAUGUACAUGUAGAAUGCGUAUUAAGUAAGGAUAUAGGUACUAUCAUCUUUAUGUAUGUAUUGGAUAGCUUUUAUUUAUGACGCUAAUUUCGAAUUUGAAAUGUAGAAACUUCCUUAAAACUACAGCGUUGAUUAUCCGCUUGAAAUUUGGUCAUCAUAAUAUAGACUCGUUUCUUUUUUAUUUCGUUAGAUUUCAUUAUAUCAUAUACAUAUCAUUAUGUUCGUUCGUUAUAACUUCGAUUUUGUAAUAUAAUUGUAUAUUCGUCGGAUGCGAACACGACAAAGAUUAAUUUAAAUUUAACAAACCGAAGAUGAAAUAAUUGAUAGUAUCGCGAGGGCCUCAAAUCUGAAGAAUGGUAGUUCAGGGUGAAUCUAUUCUACCAAUUCUCAAUAAAAACUUGAUUAUUUGUAUAGCGUGUAAGAAGAUAUUAAACUCUAGAUGAAAAUUAUAGAAGCAUACUUUAAUUGUUAACGAAAUUUGAAUCAAAUCAAAGAUCUAGCGGCCGUUUAUUCGUUUUUGUUGGCAAGCCGGUUUAGUCAACGGAAGUAAAGAUCGAAGCGAAACUCCUUCCGUGAAAUCGCCCGUGUCUCCCCUUUUAUCCUUCCACUUUUCAACCUCACUUCACCAUUUUUACCCUUCCAUCAGCCUCUGUCACUUCCUGUUGCCUCCCUCCUCCUCCCUUGACCGACCUUGUCUUGUAUAAAGUAUCGUGGGCGCAUUACAUUACAAAAAAGAUGAAAAACAAAAAAACGUGAUAUAAAAAGAAGGUUAUAUAUAAAUAUAUAUUAUACCGACACGUGUUUUUCUAUGUAUUUUUUUCAUAGGGUACUACUACUGCUAUUAUUAUUACUAUUACUAAUUAACUAUUAACUAAUUAAACUACUACCAACUAGUACUACCAUUACUACCGCUGCUGCUAUCGCUAAUUACACUUACACUUACACACACACACACACACACACACACACACACACACACACACACACAAAAAUUUACUAUGUUGUAACUUGUAUAAAAAGGACGAUUUAUUCUGCAACGAUCCUCUCGAGACGGGAACGAAAUGAAAUUGCAAAGGCAUCUUCAUUCGACGAUUCAAAAUGGAAACGACGAAUCCAUCGCACGGUUCUCUGCGUAUCGCGAUCUUUUCUUUACCGUUUCCUUUCGUUCCUUUCGAUCUCGCGCAUCCUUCACGCUCGUGUUCCGCCUGGUUAAAUUGUACUAUAAGAAAAAGAACGAGAAUAUUUUUGUUUGUUUGUUAAACAUUUCGACCAAGUUUGUUCGGCUACUAUCGUUUAUCGUUUAUCUAUUAGCGGGGUAAAAGGGGAGGGGCAUAGUUUUAUGCAACGCUAAAUCAUACUAUGAUUGCGUUUUACAUUUCAUUGUGUUUUAUGAUUACGACUCGUGUGAUGGAUAUAAACUUGUUACUAUUUUCGUUCUAUAUCGGAAUUUAUCUUUAUUUGAUUUGUAAAAUUCUCGACUGUUACACAAUUAUGUAGAUGUUUAAUCGUAGUUAUCGCUUUACACGCGCGCAGAGGAUCGACCAUUGUUAUUUUGCGCGAUGGAAACGAUAGAAGGCGUUGAAGCUUGAACAGGCUUUAAUCGAAUUACGUUUCCAUCGAUAUUAUUACGAACCUGAUUAAUAAUCACUAACGGGAAAUAUCAUAUGGCGACACUGUUCUAAAGCAUUGUUAAUUUUAUAAAGUGGUGGUAUUUGUUGUGUCGUCAUCGUGUAUUUGUUGUAUCGUUAUCUUUACGAUUGUUGUUCGAUAUUGACGCUUUGAUGUCUUCAGUCGUCGCCUUCCUUAAUCUUUUUUCUUUUUUUUUUUCUUCUUUUUAAUUAACACGCAUAAUCUUUCUGUUUCUCAGAAAAUGUUUUUAAUUCGAUCGUAUCCAUGUUGUUGGUAUUAGGUGCCCGAUAACCUCGAAUUCAAAAUAUGAUUAAAAAUAGAUUGUAAAUUGUCGAAUCAUCAAGCGUUAAAAUUCAUGAUCGAGAAAAGAUUGAGGUAAAGCGUCGAGAUUAAAGGUAAUUUUGUGGUCGUUAGGCUUAGAUGAUUUCCGAUGAUGGCCAUCGAAUCGAGGAUCGUUUCGGAAUUUUAAUGCAGAAGGAACAAACACUGCCAGCGCGAGCGGAAAUUCUUGAGUUCUAUCUCAUGACUAAACGAUACGCACGGAAUUAAUCUUGUCACGAUUCGUCGUUUCCUCCAUGACCAUUGCGUGGUCGCGAUAUUAACGCGAAGUCUUUGCGAAGAAAUAAACAGAAAAGAAGAAACAGAAACGAGAGGAGAAGCGCCAGCGCCCGGUAUUUCCUUCCCCCCUCCCCCCUCUCUUUAUUGUACAAUGAAAUUACCUUUACGCCGCACGAAAUGCAGUUUAAACGUUGAGAAGAAACGUUGUUUUUUUCAGUUUUCUGUGUAUCCGAAUUGAACAGAAAGUCCCAGCACUAUUUUUAAUUUCAAUUUACUUGAAAUGAAAAGAAUCUGAAGAUAGUCGUUGGUGCAAACUGAAUCGAUUAAAAGCGAUGUGCUGGCUAACAAAUUCGUUGAUGCUUUGAAUCGAAGUGAAAUGAGAAAGAAAAAACGCAGAAUAGAAAGGAAAUGAUAAAGAGAAAAGAUCGUGCGCGCUUGAUUUCGCUCGGCCUAGCGGAGUUUCUUCUUUUUCUUCUUCUUUGCCUUCUUCUCCUUCCUCUUCUACUUCUUCUUCUUCUUCUUCUUCUCGAGCGUAAGGAGUCUAUUGGAUUCACACGAGACUCCUUAAAAUGGAGAAGAACCGCGGAAAGAAAAAGAAAGGAAAGGAAAGAAAGGAAAAGAAAAGCAAGAGCAAACUAAAGAACGUGUGUAGACUGGUCUGCGGCACGAGUAGGGAAGCGUCUACGAAGACCUUCAUCGACGAGGCGUCACGACGAUCACGGCAUUGAGGUAUAAUUCGCGAUCAAUCGUAUUUUAAGUAUACUAAUCGAAAUUGUAUGGAUUUGCGAAUGGUUUGUAUAUGUACAUAUAUACAAUUAUCAUGAUCUAUUCAAGGGAAAAUAACUAUAAAACGUGAACGAUGUAUGUAUGCGUGUAUAGUAUAUGUUUGCGAAUGAUCGGUGAAGUUCUCUUCGUGUAUGGAUUGCGAGAAACUUAUUCGAACUGUACUACAUAAUGCGUGCAACAAGUAUGCGUGGACGAUAUGAGAAAGAAAGAGUGGGAGAAAACAAUUAGGUGAAAUGUCCGAAGAAACAAAGCAACACCGACAAAGAGUAUUAUAAAACUGCCUUUGUGUACUAUAUGUGCAAGGAGAAACAAAGUGAAGCGUUUCUAGCCGUCAAGAGUUGAGCUGCUUUAGCCUUGCUUUCCUUCUUCUUCUUAUUCUGUUUCACCAUCUUAUUAUUGUGUUUACUUGCGUGUUGCAACUCUUGUUUCUGCAAAAGAAAAAGAGGCGUAAGAGCUGGAUUACGGAUCGGUAGAAUAGAAAGAACGUGUGCUUGAGAAAAGUUGAGAGAAAGAAAUAGUUUUACGGAUGAUUCGUUUGCGUGUAUAUGCGUGACUUUUGCGUGUGCCGAGAGGAACCGCGGAGGGAAACACGAUAUUCGUGGCUUUCGUUGCAUUCUAGUUAGUACGAGUCUUUUCGUUUUUCUUCAUCGCAUACAACAACAACAACAAAGACUCUUGCCAUCUUUGAGACUCGGCCUUUGCUUGCAUUCACGUUUUCUUUCUUUGUAGGUUGAUGAAAACCUCGGGCGGCUAACUGAUCGACUAAACGUCUAGGCUAUCCACACGGAUUUAGUCGUCGAGUUUAAUCCGUUGGCGAGAGUUUGAGGGGAAAAAUGCUUAGCCGGAACGGCCAGCGUAAACGAGAGUCAAAGUGUCUCAUUCAAUUACGUUUCUAAGGAUCUUCUCCAUUUUCUCCUUGGAAUCGAGUUCUCACUGUAGAAAAAAAGCCGAAUAUAACACCGACGCUUUCGCCACACGUUUCUUUCUUAGUUUCUCGUCGUAUGUUUGUAUAUUGUGCGUGUACAAUCUUCGAGGAUGGCAAGAGCGUACAGGUCGGAAGAAAGGGGAAAAAAAGGAAAAUGGAAAUCAGAGAAGAUUUAGACCUGCGCUUUGAGUAUUGAUUGAUCGAUCGAAUCUGCCGUUUGAAUAUAAUGCAGAAGAAAAGCAGGAAUAAUUUAUCGGCGCGAUAUUAUUAUUGUAUAAGUGCGACGAGAAAGAAAAAGAAAAACGUAUAAAUUUGCGGAUAUUUAAUCUAUUGCUCGCGGCUAGAACCUUGACCCACUAGAGCGUUUUAGUCUUUGUUCUUUUCCCUGAAAAUUACGAUCAUUAUAUUUGGGAAAGCGUCGAUUUUCUUGGUACUAUCGGAUACUUCCUGCUUUCGUUGGAACGAACAGAGACUAGACGCUUUGAUGGGUCGAUCGGGAAUUAAGGAAAUUAUGCUUGCAUUACUCGACAUUCUUGAUGUGAGUCCGUUAACUCCUAAACUGAAGUGCAAUUGUAAAAAAAAAGGAAAAAAACAAGAAAAAAAAAGUGAUGACCGUCGUUGUCCGUUUGUUUGUUCGUCAAUCCGUGUACUACGUGUCGACGACAAUGCGACGAAUGCGUGAGAUGUUCGAGCUUUUUCCGUUGCUCCGUACAGUUUUGUCUCCUUUUUUUUUCAUUUCUCAUCUUUUGCUUCUUUCUUUUUUUCUUUUGGUAUUCAGACGCAUGUUGACUUGAAGUUAAUCCUUUAUGUAUGAUGGUAAUACGACCGUGCGAACGGUGCGUCAACGAUAAAGGCACGCGAUUUUUCAAACGAUAAGAAUAAUAAUCAAAAUAGGCAGCUAUUUAUUAUAACCGCCGAACAUUGUGGAGAUUCCCGAGUAACAUGAACGCAGGUUUAUCGUGGAAAUGGAAUGUUUCUACGUGUUAAACGAUUUUAAUACUUGUACUUUGUCAAAUAGUAGAAUAGCGGUUCUUAAUCUACAACGUGUAAUCUUGUAUUUUUUGAAGUUUACGGAAGUGGUCUGUAAUUAAUUUUUUAUAUAAUACCGAGAAGAGGUAUAACGGUUAAGGAAAGCGCAAGAAAGAGAAACUAAGCGAUCGUCCGUUUUAUUUGUCAUUUUCACUUUUUCCUUCUUUCAUACUCUACUUUUUAUUUACACCACUUUUGUUUUCGUUUCAUCGAAUGGUUUUGAAACAACUAAGAAUUACUGGCAUAAAGGGUUAAUUUAAGCGGAAAUGCUUCGCUCGUAACGUUGAUUACGAAAGGAGGCGUGAUCAAGUCAAAAUGCAACGUGUUUAAUCAGUUUCGAACGUCUCCUUCCGUGCAGGCAGUCUGAUUUCGCGUUUUUCUCCACCACUUUAUGUUCACUGUAGGGAUUCAAAUAAUUACCGAUUAGAGAGAGCCGAAAAAAACGAAAAGUUUGUUUUAGACCGGAGAUGGUAGCGGCGGGGGAACUCCGAUGAAACGAUACCGUAUCUCGUUUCAAAUAUUUUCGGCAAAUAAACGAGUUUUCUUUCAUGAUGGGCGCUCGUCGUUUCACGGCGUUCCCUGCCGUCUGCUCGCCGAAUUCUAGUUAAAUAAUAAAAAAGGAAGAAACGAAGCGUUUUUUAAAUUAAACGAGAUAAACGAGUAA